rnacentral:tRNA from 1 species
UUAGCUCAGUUGGUAGAGCAUCUGACUUUUAAUCAGAGGGUCAGAGGUUCGAAUCCUCUAUGGCUCA